rfam:Fukomys damarensis contig155106, whole genome shotgun sequence.
AUCAGGUUCCAACACAUGUGAGUACUCACUCAAAGGAGGUAAGCUGUUCUGUGCCAAAGGUCAAAAC